rnacentral:rRNA from 1 species
AACAGGAUUAGAUACCCUGGUAGUCCACGCCGUAAACGAUGUCGACUUGGAGGUUGUGCCCUUGAGGCGUGGCUUCCGGAGCUAACGCGUUAAGUCGACCGCCUGGGGAGUACGGCCGCAAGGUUAAAACUCAAAUGAAUUGACGAGGGCCCGCACAAGCGGUGGAGCAUGUGGUUUAAUUCGAUGCAACGCGAAGAACCUUACCUACUCUUGACAUCCAGAGAACUUAGCAGAGAUGCUUUGGUGCCUUCGGGAACUCUGAGACAGGUGCUGCAUGGCUGUCGUCAGCUCGUGUUGUGAAAUGUUGGGUUAAGUCCCGCAACGAGCGCAACCCUUAUCCUUUGUUGCCAGCGGUCCGGCCGGGAACUCAAAGGAGACUGCCAGUGAUAAACUGGAGGAAGGUGGGGAUGACGUCAAGUCAUCAUGGCCCUUACGAGUAGGGCUACACACGUGCUACAAUGGCGCAUACAAAGAGAAGCGACCUCGCGAGAGCAAGCGGACCUCAUAAAGUGCGUCGUAGUCCGGAUUGGAGUCUGCAACUCGACUCCAUGAAGUCGGAAUCGCUAGUAAUCGUGGAUCAGAAUGCCACGGUGAAUACGUUCCCGGGCCUUGUACACACCGCCCGUCACACCAUGGGAGUGGGUUGCAAAAGAAGUAGGUAGCUUAACCUUCGGGAGGGCGCUUACCACUUUGUGAUUCAUGACUGGGGUGAAGUCGUAACAAGGUAACC